rnacentral:pre_miRNA from 2 species
GCUGGUCAAACGGAACCAAGUCCGUCUGACUGAGAGGUUUGGUCCCCUUCAACCAGCUA